AACUGUUGUGGGACAACUGGGGAUCAUAAGUCGCAUGGACCCCAUGACCCUCUACCUUCCUAGCUUUGGUUGUGCUUGUAGGACCACUCACGGUGCAUGGAAAACAGCAGCCUCUACCACCAGGAAGGACUUCAUACAAUCACAGCUGCUCAUCAUCUUGGUCACUUUAACCCCUCCAACUUACUCUGUGACUACCUUAUGCAAAAAACAGCAAGACCUGUGUAAAUCCUCUGGAGAAUGGAGAUCUGGGGUGCAGCAGGAGGAAGAUGCAGCACUAUUGGUCAGUGGAGUCCUGUCCUCCUCAGUGCUGACCUCCUUCAUCCAGGCUUCCCAUGGUGCUUCCCACCUCCUGAUCCAAAAAUUCUGCAUCA